AGAGUUUGAUCCUGGCUCAGAACGAACGCUGGCGGCGUGCUUAACACAUGCAAGUCGAACGAGGAAUGUUGAAAAGCUUGCUUUUUGACAUUUCGAGUGGCGGACGGGUGAGUAACGCGUGAGGAACCUGUCUUCUACAGGGGGAUAACGUCCCGAAAGGGACGCUAAUACCGCAUAAGACCACAGUAUCGCAUGAUACAGGGGUCAAAGGAGCAAUCCGGUAGAAGGUGGCCUCGCGUCCCAUUAGGCAGUUGGCGGGGUAACGGCCCACCAAACCUGCGAUGGGUAGCCGACCUGAGAGGGUGAUCGGCCACAUUGGAACUGAGACACGGUCCAAACUCCUACGGGAGGCAGCAGUGGGGAAUAUUGGGCAAUGGGCGCAAGCCUGACCCAGCAACGCCGCGUGAGGGAAGAAGGUUUUCGGAUUGUAAACCUCUGUCCCGGGAGACGAGAGCGAGACGGUAUCCCGGGAGGAAGCCCCGGCUAACUACGUGCCAGCAGCCGCGGUAAUACGUAGGGGGCGAGCGUUGUCCGGAAUGAUUGGGCGUAAAGGGCGUGUAGGCGGCUGAUUAAGUCUGGAGUGAAAGUCCUGCUUUCAAGGUGGGAAUUGCUUUGGAUACUGGUCAGCUUGAGUGCAGGAGAGGCUAUCGGAAUUCCCGGUGUAGCGGUGAAAUGCGUAGAGAUCGGGAGGAACACCAGUGGCGAAGGCGGGUAACUGGACUGCAACUGACGCUGAGGCGCGAAAGUGUGGGGAGCAAACAGGAUUAGAUACCCUGGUAGUCCACACUGUAAACGAUGAAUGCCAGGUGUUGGAGGUAUCGACCCCUUCAGUGCCGGAGUCAACACAAUAAGCAUUCCGCCUGGGGAGUACGGCCGCAAGGUUGAAACUCAAAGGAAUUGACGGGGGCCCGCACAAGCAGCGGAGCAUGUGGUUUAAUUCGACGCAACGCGAAGAACCUUACCAGGUCUUGACAUCCAUUUAAAGCUGCGGAGACGCAGUGUGAGCUUGCUCGAAAUGAGACAGGUGGUGCAUGGUUGUCGUCAGCUCGUGUCGUGAGAUGUUGGGUUAAGUCCCGCGACGAGCGCAACAAAAAAAAAAAAGUUGCUAACGCGCAGUGGCGAGAACUCUGCAGGGACUGCCGGGGACAACUCGGAGGAAGGUGGGGACGACGUCAAAUCAUCAUGCCCCUUAUGACCUGGGCUACACACGUGCUACAAUGGCCGUAACAAAGAGAAGCGAGCGCGCAAGCGUAAGCGGAUCUCAAAAAAGCGGUCUCAGUUCGGAUUGUGGGCUGCAACCCGCCCACAUGAAGUCGGAGUUGCUAGUAAUCGCGGAUCAGCAUGCCGCGGUGAAUACGUUCCCGGGCCUUGUACACACCGCCCGUCACACCAUGGGAGUUGACAGCACCCAAAAUAUGUGAGGUAACCGCAAGGAGCCAGCAUCCUAAGGUGAGAUCAAUGACUGGGGUGAAGUCGUAACAAGGUAACC
rnacentral:rRNA from 1 species